GGAGCACACUAACACCAGACAGAGGACCAGGUGGAGAGGUGGAGUUAGAACCUUUACCGGGGCAGGAUGGAGCACACUAACACCAGACAGAGGACCAGGUGGAGAGGUGGAGUUAGAACCUUUACCGGGGCAGGAUGGAGUACACUAACACCAGACAGAGGACCAGGUGGAGAGGUGGAGUUAGAACCUUUACCGGGGCAGGAUGGAGUACACUAACACCAGACAGAGGGCCAGGUGGAGAGGUGGAGUUAGAACCUUUACCGGGGCAGGAUGGAGUACACUAACACUAGACAGAGGACCAGGUGGAGAGGUGGAGUUAGAACCUUUACCGGGGCAGGAUGGAGUACACUAACACCAGACAGAGGGCCAGGUGGAGAGGUGGAGUUAGAACCUUUACCGGGGCAGGAUGGAGUACACUAACACCAGACAGAGGACCAGGUGGAGAGGUGGAGUUAGAACCUUUACCGGGGCAGGAUGGAGUACACUAACACCAGACAGAGGACCAGGUGGAGAGGUGGAGUUAGAACCUUUACCGGGGCAGGAUGGAGUACACUAACACCAGACAGA